UNGGACCAGUGUUCUGCACCGUUAGCAUC
rnacentral:piRNA from 1 species